rnacentral:siRNA from 1 species
UUUGAAAUUGGGUGUUACAG